CUACUCGACUCCUACGGGGAGGCAGCAGUGGGGAAUAUUGCACAAUGGGCGCAAGCCUGAUGCAGCCAUGCCGCGUGUAUGAAGAAGGCCUUCGGGUUGUAAAGUACUUUCAGCAGUGAGGAAGGUGGGUAUGUUAAUAGCAUAUUCAUUUGACGUUAGCUGCAGAAGAAGCACCGGCUAACUCCGUGCCAGCAGCCGCGGUAAUACGGAGGGUGCGAGCGUUAAUCGGAAUUACUGGGCGUAAAGCGCGCGUAGGCGGCUUGAUAAGCCGGUUGUGAAAGCCCCGGGCUCAACCUGGGAACGGCAUCCGGAACUGUCAGGCUAGAGUGCAGGAGAGGAAGGUAGAAUUCCCGGUGUAGCGGUGAAAUGCGUAGAGAUCGGGAGGAAUACCAGUGGCGAAGGCGGCCUUCUGGACUGACACUGACGCUGAGGUGCGAAAGCGUGGGUAGCAAACAGGAUUAGAUACCCUGGUAG
rnacentral:rRNA from 1 species